UGGAAGGGGCUAAGGAGUGAUGUAGAGAAGAUGGAAGGGGUUAAGGAGUGAUGGAGAGAAGAUGGAAGGGGCUAAGGAGUGAUGGAGAGAAGAUGGAAGGGUCUAAGGAGUGACAGAGAGAAGAUGGAAGGGGUUAAGGAGUGAUGGAGAGAAGAUGGAAGGGGCUAAGGAGUGAUGGAGAGAAGAUGGAAGGGGCUAAGGAGUGAUGGAGAGAAGAUGGAAGGGUCUAAGGAGUGAUAGAGAGAAGAUGGAAGGGGUUAAGGAGUGAUGGAGAGAAGAUGGAAGGGGUUAAGGAGUGAUGGAGAGAAGAUGGAAGGGUCUAAGGAGUGAUGGAGAGAAGAUGGAAAGGGCUAAGGAGUGAUGGAGAGAAGAUGGAAGUGGUUAAGGAGUGAUGGAGAGAAGAUGGAAGGGGCUAAGGAGUGAUGGAGAGAAGAUGGAAGGGGCUAAGGAGUAAUGGAGAGAAGAUGGAAGGGGCUAAGGAGUGAUGGAGAGAAGAUGGAAGGGGCUAAGGAGUGAUGGAGAGAAGAUGGAAGGGGCUAAGGAGUGAUGGAGAGAAGAUGGAAGGGGUUAAGGAGUGAUGGAGAGAAGAUGGAAGGGGCUAAGGAGUGAUGGAGAGAAGAUGGAAGGGGCUAAGGAGUGAUGGAGAGAAGAUGGAAGGGGCUAAGGAGUGAUGGAGAGAAGAUGGAAGGGGCUAAAGAGUGAUGGAGAGAAGAUGGAAGGGGCUAUGGAGUGAUGGAGAGAAUCUGACCAUUUUUUUGUUGUUGUAGUAAUGACAAUUACAACAAUACUGAAUGAACACUUAUUUUAACUUAAUAUAAUACAUCAAUAAAAUCAAUUUAGCCUCAAGUAAAUAAUGAAACAUGUUUAAUUUGGUUUAAAUAAUGCAAAAACAAGGUGUUGGAGAAGAAAGUAAAAGUGCAAUAUGUGCCAUGUAAAAAAGCUAAGGUUUCAGAUCCUUGCUCAGAACAUGAGAACAUAUGAAAGUUGGUGGUUCCUUUUAACAUGAGUCUUCAAUAUUCCCAGGUAAGAAGUUUUAGGUUGUAGUUAUUAUAGGAAUUAUAGGACUUUUUCCCUCUAUACCAUUUGUAUUUCAUUAACCUUUGACUAUUGGAUGUUCUUAUAGGCACUUUAGUAUUGCCAGUGUAACAGUAUAGCUUCUUCCCUCUCCUCGCUCCUCCCUGGGCUCGAACCAGCAACACAACGAAAACAGCCAUCAUCGAAGCAGCAUUACCCAUGCAGAGCAAGGGAAACAACCACCCCAAGGCUCAGAGCGAGUGAAGUUUGAAACACUAUCAGCGCGCUCUAACUCGCCAGCCAUUUCACUUCGGUUACACCAGCCUCAUCUCGGGAGUUGAUAGGCUUGAAGUCAGAAACAGCACAAUGCUUGACACACAACGAAGAGCUGCUGGCAAAACUCACGAAAGUGCUGUUUGAAUGAAUGUUUACACGCCUGCUUCUGCCUACCACCGCUCAGUCAGAUACUUACCGUAAUUGCUGGACUAUUAAGCGCACCUGAAUAUAAACCGCACCCACUGAAUUAUUCAAAAAUAUGUAUUUUGUACAUAAAUAAGCCGCACAUGUCUAUAAGCCACAAGUGCCUACCGGUACAUUGAAACAAAUUAACUUUACACAGCCUUUAAACGAAACACGGCUUGUAACAAAAAUAAAUAGGCUUUAACCAAACACGGAUUGUAACAAAAAUAAAUAGGCUUUAACCAAACACGGCUUGUAACAAAAAUGAAACAGUAGCCUAGUCAUUGGUCACUAUCUUCCUCCUCCUGUGCACUGAAACCACUGAAGUCAUCUCCUUCGGUGUCGGAGUUGAAUAGCCUCAGAAUUGCUUCAUCCGAUGUUGGAUCGCUGCCCUCUUCAACACGCAGCAGUCCAGCUGCCCUCUUCAACACGCAGCAGUCCAGCCUUUCCAAACCCGUUGAUGAUGGUGGAUUUUUUGACAAUGCUCCACGCUGUCAGCAGCUCUAUUUCCUUUUCCAACAGCCAGAUCGAUCGCCUUCAACUUGAAAGCUGCAUCAUAUGCAUUUCUCCGUUUCUUUGCCAUGAUGAGGGUGACAAAAUGACUACCGUAAUCAGAAUGAUGGGAUGUUUGAGCGCUCUCGAUUUACGUCACAUUAUGUGACAGUGCUCAGUUUUUUGGCGGCAUGAAUCUUGUGAAAGCGGGAAAAAUCCAUAAAUUAACCGCGUCAUUGUAUAAACCGCGAGGUUCAAAGCGUGGGAAUAAAGUCGUGGCUUAUAGUCCGGAAAUUACUGUAGAUACUUGUAUGCUUGUUUGCUCAGUCAGAUUAUAUGCAACGCAGGACACGCUAGAUAAUAUCUAGUAAUAUCAUCAACCAUGUGUAGUUAACUAGUGAUUAUGAUUGAUUGUUUUUUUUAUUAGAUACAGUGCCUUGCGAAAGUAUUCGGCCCCCUUGAACUUUGCGACCUUUUGCCACAUUUCAGGCUAGAUAUAAAAGAUAUAAAACUGUAUUUUUUUGUGAAGAAUCAACAACAAGUGGGACACAAUCAUGAAGUGGAACGACAUUUAUUGGAUAUUUCAAACUUUUUUAACAAAUCAAAAACUGAAAAAUUGGACGUGCAAAAUUAUUCAGCCCCCUUAAGUUAAUACUUUGUAGUGCCACCUUUUGCUGCGGUUACAGCUGUAAGUCGCUUGGGGUAUGUCUCUAUCAGUUUUGCACAUCGAGAGACUGAAAUUUUUCCCAUUCCUCCUUGCAAAAUAGCUCGAGCUCAGUGAGGUUGGAUGGAGAGCAUUUGUGAACAGCAGUUUUCAGUUCUUUCCACAGAUUCUCGAUUGGAUUCAGGUCUGGACUUUGACUUGGCCAUUCUAACACCUGGAUAUGUUUAUUUUUGAACCAUUCCAUUGUAGAUUUUGCUUAAUGUUUUGGAUCAUUGUCUUGUUGGAAGACAAAUCUCCGUCCCAGUCUCAGGUCUUUUGCGGACCCAAUCAGGUUCAAUCAGAUUCUUCCAGAAUGGUCCUGUAUUUGGCUCCAUCUAUCUUCCCAUCAAUUUUAACCAUCUUUCCUGUCCCUGCUGAUGAAAAGCAGGCCCAACCCAUGAUGCUGCCACCACCAUGUUUGACAGUGGGGAUGGUGUGUUCAGGGUGAUGAGCUGUGUUGCUUUUUGCAUUGUUGCCAAAAAGUUAAAUUUUGGUUUCAUCUGACCAGAGCACCUUCUUCCACAUGUUUGGUGUGUCUCCCAGAUGGCUUGUGGCAAACUUUAAACAACACUUUUUAUGGAUAUCUUUAAGAAAUGGCUUUCUUCUUGCCACUCUUCCAUAAAGGCCAGAUUUGUGCACUAUAUGACUGAUUGUUGUCCUAUGGACAGAGUCUCCCACCUCAGCUGUGGAUCUCUGCAGUUCAUCCAGAGUGAUCAUAGGCCUCUUGGCUGCAUCUCUGAUCAGUCUUCUCCUUGUAUGAGCUGAAAGUUUAGAGGGACGGCCAGGUCUUGGUAGAUUUGCAGUGGUCUGAUACUCCUUCCAUUUCAAUAUUAUCGCUUGCACAGUGCUCCUUGGGAUGUUUAAAUCUUUUUGUAUCCAAAUCCGGCUUUAAACUUCUUCACAACAGUAUCUCGGACCUGCCUGGUGUGUUCCUUGUUCUUCAUGAUGCUCUCUGCGCUUUUAACGGACCUCUGAGACUAUCACAGUGCAGGUGCAUUCAUACGGAGACUUGAUUACACACAGGUGGAUUGUAUUUAUCAUCAUUAGUCAUUUAGGUCAACAUUGGAUCAUUCAGAGAUCCUCACUGAAUAAUUUUGCACGCCCAAUUUUUCAAUUUUUGAUUUGUUAAAAAAGUUUGAAAUAUCCAAUAAAUGUCGUUCCACUUCAUGAUUGUGUCCCACUUGUUGUUGAUUCUUCACAAAAAAAUACAGUUUUAUAUCUUUAUGUUUGAAGCCUGAAAUGUGGCAAAAGGUCGCAAAGUUCAAGGGGGCCGAAUACUUUCGCAAGGCACUGUACAUUUAAUGCUAGCUUGCAACUUACCUUGGCUUACUGCAUUCGCUUAACAGGCAGUCUCCUUGUGGAGUGCAACGAGAGAGAGGCAGGUCGUUAUUGCGUUGGACUAGUUAACUGUAGGGUUGCAAGAUUGGAUCCCCCGAACCGACAAGGUGAAAAUCUGUCGUUCUGCCCCUCAACUAGGCAAUUAUGGAUAUAUAUAUAUAUUUCUUUAGAGGCAAGUCAGUUAAGAACAAAUUCUUAUUUUCAAUAACAGUGGGUUAACUGCCUGUUCAGGGGCAGAACGACAGAUUUGUACUUUGUCAGCUUGGGGAUUCGAACUUGCAACCUUCCGGUUAUUAGUCCAACGCUCUAACUACUAGGCUACCCUGUGUGCGUGCGUGCGUGCGUGUAUGAGUGUAUAUCUGUGUGUGGAUGAGUUUAUAUCUGUGGGUGUGUGUGUGGAUGAGUUGGUGUGAGUGUGGAUGAGUGUAUAUCUGUGGGCGUGAGUGUGGAUGAGGUGCGGAAAGUCUGCAUGUGGUCAGUCCCGUUUAAGUGUGUUGGUGUGUGCUAACGUGUGUGUUCUGUUUGUUCACAGGGACAGUGAAGAGGAAUACACACUUCCUGUUUCAUCAUACCAGGAGAUCUAAAGGACACGUUUACCUGAAGCCCUGAUUAACACCCAUCCACCCAUCAAUCCUUCCUGUAUCUCUCUUUUACCAAACCAUCACACUGUCAUGUCUAAGUGUUUCAACUGAGGAUUCAUCCUUUGCCUUUUUAAUAUUAGUGUCAUUAUCAUAUUUUAUUAUUAGUAUUCUUCUGGUUUUGUACUGUUCAACUGCUGUCAAUCAUCUGAACAGCAGGUAGUCUGUUACUAUGACACUCAUCCACUCACUAAAAGUCUACAUGCUGCUGCUGUACAGAAUAACUCUCUGGUCUGUGUAUACCACACACACACAUACACAGGAAACACACAGGUGUGUGUGUGUGUGUUUGGGGGAUUAGUUCGAUACUGGCUUUUACCCUAACUCUGAUGAUCCAAUCCCUCCUAGAAUAGCAUCAGUCCACCAGAUGGAUGGAGAAGCCUUCAGUAUUACCUCCUCUUCCUCCUCUCUUUUCCUCCUCCUCUCCUCUUCCUCCUCCUCUUCCACUCCUCUCUACUUCCUCCUCUUUUCCUCCUCCUCUACUAGGCUGCUUCCAUAAUGGCAGCCUAUUUAUACCCCACAUUGAGUGCAUCCCAAAUGGCUCCCUAUUCCCUAUGUAGUGCACUACUUUUGACCAGGGCCCGUAGGGUUUUGGUCAAGAGUAGUGUAUAACAUAGAGAAUAGGGUGCCAUUUUGGAUGUAUCCCUCGACUGAAUUCUCGACCAGAAGCUGUGGAUGGGAGGGGUGCUGAAGCUGUGGAUGGGAGGGGUGCUGAAGCUGUGGAUGGGAGGGGUGCUGAAGCUGUGGAUGGGAGGGGUGCUGAAGCUGUGGAUGGGAGGGGUGCUGAAGCUGUGGAUGGGAGGGGUGCUGAAGCUGUGGAUGGGAGGGGUGCUGAAGCUGUGGAUGGGAGGGGUGCUGAAGCUGUGGAUGGGAGGGGUGCUGAAGCUGUGGAUGGGAGGGGUGCUGAAGCUGUGGAUGGGAGGGGUGCUGAAGCUGUGGAUGGGAGGGGUGGUGGUGUUUUGUUUACCUGUUUUGAAGCAUUCAUUGGUGACAUAAAAGGAACGCUCUGUUUGAAGUGUGACUGUGCUGUUGUUUUUAAGUGUGUGAAAUACUGUACAAAUUAAACCAUGGCUGAGAUUUAAUGUGCUUUUUUUUCUUGAUUUGCGGAUGAAUAAAUGCAACUUUAAAACAGA